AGCGAACGCUGGCGGCAGGCCUAACACAUGCAAGUCGAACGAACUCUUCCGGGUUAUUUGCGGUCGGGUGAGUACCACCUGGUAACGUGCCCUUAGGUUCCGAAUAACUCAGUGUAACUUAAGCUCAUACCGGUUGUGCCCUUCCCGGGAAAGAUUUAUCGCCUUUAGAGCGGCCCUCGUCUGAUUAGCUAGUUGGUGAUGUAAAGGCUCGCCAAGGCGACGUUCAUUAGCUGGUCGGAGAGGAGGAUCAUCCACAUUGGGACUGAGACACGGCCCAAACUCCUACGGGAGGCAGCAGUGGGGAAUCUUGCGCAAUGGGCGAAAGCCUGACGCAGCCAUGCCGCGUGAAUGAUGAAGGUCUUAGGAUUGUAAAAUUCUUUCACCGGAGACGAUAAUGACGGUACCCGGAGAAGAAGCCCCGGCUAACUUCGUG
rnacentral:rRNA from 1 species